rnacentral:lncRNA from 1 species
CCCUUCCGCAGUAAUGGCGCCUUCCCUCUCCCGCGGUCCAGACCUUCUCCCAGGUUCCCUCUGCCGUGGCUUCCCCUCCUUAGUCUGUGGUGUUCCCCUCCGUAGCCCGAGGUCCACUGCUCCUUAGCCCCUCAUGCCAUCUCCAGUUCUCUCCCUGGGACUGACCUCCGGAGCCUGAAUCUCAGCGCCCAGCCACUGCCCCAGCGUCUCAGGCUGUGGCGUCCCGGCCGGUGGUUCAGAUGGUCUGUGCGGCUCUCACUCUGCUUUGCUGUUCUCAGUCCAGCUGCUGUGCUUUUCCUGCCGACUCAGCUGAUCUUUCGUCAGUCAGGUGGCUUCCCAGGAGGAUAAACUUGGGACUAUGUCUAAUCACCUGGAUUCUUCACUCGCCUGACAAGGUGGACAAAAGGAAAGAAACACCAGGAAGAGGCAGAGAGAGAUGGCAGGUCCACCUUCAACAAAUUUCCUACGGUUUAACCAGUUCUGGUUGCCUGUGACUUGUACUGGGAGUUUCCUGAAAGAGGCACCAAUGCAGAUCGGAUGCUAGAAACUUUCCUGCAUGAUCUCCAGCUACUGAGAGCAGGAACACGUAAGGAAACCAUGAUCAUUCCGUCUUCACAGGAUGGCAGCUGUGCAGAUGGAGAGGCCCAAAGCAGAGCGAGAUGGAGUCCAGCGCACCAGUGAGAGGAAACACUGCAGUACUAAGCCAUCCUCAGCUGGACGAAUCCGAGGCUGUGGAACCCCAUGCAUACAGCAGGUGGACUCUAAGUUUACAUGGAUUUUCCAUGGCAUGCUGUUGGCGCGCCAACCCCUGCCUCGUUCAAGAGUCAACUGUGUACGUAAUCAACUCUCAAGUUUUUUCUAAGUCUUCCUUAAUCGAUACCAAUAAUAAACGAGGUGACUGUGCCCCAAAGACAGAGAAAAUACAGAAGGGGAAAAGAAACAGCUGUGAGAGGGAGUGAUGUCCAGCAGGACCUGAUGUUAAAGAAAAGGCCACAGUGUCACCGAGAAAAGUUUGCUAGCGCAGAUUUCAAACUCUCCGUUUUACUUCAGCUCUCCCCUCCUUUUUCUGGGACAAGCCACUUCUGUGAGUCUCAGUUUGCUCCCUUGUACAACAAGAAGAGUGAAUAUCUGUGAAGGUGCUCUGAAAACGCCCAAGAGCGACGCGCAGCCCCCGGUGCCUUUCCAGCCCGAGAGUCCUUACUGGAGGAGGAGGAAGCCGGCCUACGCGCCACACAGCACCCCCCCCCCCAACCCCAAGACUCUGCCGCAGCCUUCAUUCCCCACAGAAACGGCGUUGCCAUUUUAAUGGGAAGGGCAUGUCCAGAUCCAAUUCUAAGGACUCUCAUCCGACUCCCUCACUAGUCCUCAGCCACGAGGGGGUGGGAGCGCUGGGGGUGACAGACACCUGGCGGGGGUGGGGGACAUGGCCUCCCCGAGCGCAGACCCAGACCAGCCGCACCUGGUGUCCCCUCCCAGACGCUGUCCCCUGCAGCUCAGCUUCUCCAGGAACACAAGGUGAAGACGCCCCUCCUCUGAGGUGACCUUCGACGGCAGGAGCCAGAGAAGGCUCAGAGGCUUCCGGCGUGGGAGCCACAAUCCCCUGGCCUUGGAGCUUUGUUAGACUCUGUCACUCGGGGCCAUGGUUCACUAGCAAGAAUGUGGGCAUGGAAGUGACCUGGAGAAAAUUCCCUAACCUCACUGACAGGUGAGGUUCCCCGCCUGAGAGGGGCAGUUUUUCAGGACUGAGGGAGUCCGUGGACGUACAGCGCCUGUAUAGUGCUGGCCGCCUGUGGGCGCCCCAUCCCACGCCGGGCUUGUGCUUCUUCCCCCGCACGCCUUUGUGCACUAAGGCCAGCGUAGGAGGACCUGUCUUAGGGACUGGCAAACAACAGGGCAGCGGUCAGAGCGGGCCCACCCUCCAAGGAGGUUCAGGGCGGACGAGGAGGAGGCAGGUGUGGAGCUCCUGGGAUAAAGUGAGGGUGGAGGGGACGACCAACUGAAUCUUCCCGGGAGGCUGCAAGGAACGUGGGGAGAAGAGGCUGAGCCCAGGGGCAGGCCCAUCCCUGAGAAAGGGCCCUGCGCCUUCUCCUGGGGGCCUCUGGAUGCCCCGCUCUCUACUGACAUGCCAUCCUGGACUCUCUGCCACUUCCUACUUCCUCCUUUGCUUCCCCACACAGCCUUUCUGUGCUGGCCCAAGGAGAGGUUAGAAGAAAGCAGUGAGGUCAAACUCCAACUAACCUACUAAUCCAACUAGAUCCUUGAAAGUAAAGCCCAGUGCCAUCACGGAGCAAAGGAAAAGGGCAGCUGUAAGGAAGAAACAGUUGAGACGAUGCAGAGCUAAAGCAAAACCUAUUAAAAUGAAAAUAAAAACUGCUCACUUAACAAGAUUUGCUGAAUCAGGAAGGUGAAAUCAUAACCAUUUAAAUGAUAUUCUUCAUCAAUGUUUUCUCUAACUCUCUUUACAUAAUUGCCACCCCCCUGCCCCCCGCCCCAAAAAACCCAAAGGCUGCUUGUAUUCCUUUCCACACAAAGCAUCUGUAACAAAGCAAAAGUAGGACUUCAAAUGACAGAGUCACCUUGGAGGGGGGCACGCGGUGGGGAGGGGGGGGGGUCUCUCCAGAACAUUUAGCUUUUCUGGACAAACCCAGUGAAUGUAAAACACAGGAGGGCUUAGAUGCAUAAAAAUUGCCGGCAUCAAGAACAAGGCACAAGCUCAUAUUAUCUGUGCUGAUUUGUGGUAUUACAUAAUUUAUUGUACUUUUCAUAAAUGUGCUGGCCUUGGGAAUGGUCUUCAUUUCACCACAGAAGCUGUACUGAGUCAUCUGCUAUCUUGGUGCAGGAUUUUUCUUUUUGUUUUCAUAUCUAUAAAUUUGUCCUCCUGGGAAAUAUCAAGGUCAAUUUCUGCCAUUUGUUGCAAAAUGCAGAUUUAACUGAAGGUGAUGUUGGUUAUGCAUGCAUCCAAAUAUAGAUCUGGUUCUUAAAUAUUUAUUUAAAAACUGAAAACACUUAGAUGAGAACACAUACAAAGGCACAAAGUAAGCAAAACAAAAAAAAGUAAAAUGAAAUCUGAAAUAUGUUUUCUUAACCCUCAGUGCCAUGCUGUAUGAGAUGGAAGGAUCUAGUCUCUGCAAAGACUGAUUCUCGGUUAAUGAUAACAGGCUAAAAUGAAAAUAUGAAGGUAACAUAAUAGCUAACAAAUUACAUUUUUCAAACAAAUAGGGCUUUUUAUUUAGUUGGUGUUUUGUCCUUCUGGGGAUCUCUCUUUUUUUUUUUUUAAAGAACAGACAUAGUGAAUCCAACUCCAAAACUACUGUGAAAUGAAACAGAAAAAAAAAAAUCAGGGAAUGCUUAAGACAAUGGACAAUUUACAAAGCCACUUUUUAUACAGCCAGGUUACAGCUCUGGAGUUCCAAAAAUUUCCUGGGCACAGCAGGGAGCAGAGGAUUGAACCCAGUGGGUAAAUAUGGGAAGACAACAUCAGUGAAUGGUAUUCACCAACUGUCUUGUUCAUUCUACAAAAACAUAUAGCAGGAGACAGUCUUCAAGUCAGAAAGCAGAUUCAAUAAAAUCUAAAAGAUAAGAGAUUACGUACAGAGGUUGAGGCAUUAGGACAAAGGUGUGAUGGAAUAAUGAAGAAAGCACUGAGGAGGCUAGACAUAAAUGGAGAAUUUCUGGGGAAAACUAACUGGGGUUCAGCUCAGGGCAAAAAUCAAGACAUUCCUGAACAGGCAAGGACUCAGAAGAUUUAAUACUCAUGCAUCCUUUCAGAGAGACUAGGCUCCACCUAAACAAGGGAAUAGAUCAAGAAACAGAUUAAGGAAGCAGCGGCUCCAGCGAUACAGCUGGGCAGGAAAGUCCCUGGCUGACCUCUGAGUCCUGGAGCCAUCAACACAUCCACGUUAGGGAAGAGAAAGGGGGCCCCCAGGAAAAAGAGGAAACUGAUGGGUCAGCUGACUUAACAAAGCUUUUCUUUAAAGAUCUGACUCUUUUCUUUUGACAUUAACUUUUGUGGCAAAUCAUAAAAGGUACCAUUUUAACCAUUUUGAAGAGUACAGGUUUUUUUGUUUGUUUUGUUUUGUUUUGUUUUGGCUUUUUGCCUUUUCUAGAACCGCUUCCCACAGCAUAUGGAGGUUCCCAGACUAGCGGUCAAAUCAGAGUUGUAGCUGCCAGCCUACGCCAGAGCCACAGCAACACAGGAUCUGAGCCGCCUCUGCAACCUACACCACAGCUCAUAGCAACACCGGAUCUUUAACCCGCUGAGCGAGGCCAGGGAUGGAACCCACAACCUCAUGGUUCCUAGUUGGAUUCGCUAACCACUGAGUCAUGACGGGAACUCCUGAAGAGUACAAUUCUGCUGCCAUAAGUACAUUCACAUCGUUCUGCAAUCAUCAAUUACUCUUCAUCUGCAAAACCUUUUCAUCUUCUCCAACUGAAACUCUCUACCCAUUAAACACUAACUCACCAUUCACCCUUCCCUCAGACCAGGCAAGCACCCUUUUACUUUGUCUCUAAGAGCUGGACUACUCUAGGUACCAUACAGAAAUAGAAUCAGAUACUAUUUGCCCCUUUGUGUCUGGCUUAUUUCACUUAUCAAAAUGUCUUCAGGAUUCAUCCACAUUGUAUGCAACCUGUGUCAGAAGUCCCUUCCAUUUGAAGGCUGAAUAAAGGUCCAUGGCAUGCCUGGAUCACAUUUUGUCUAUCCAUUCAUCCACUGAAAGACACUCGGGUUGUUUCUACCUUUUGGCUGUUGCGAAUAAUGCUGCUAUGAACAUUAGUGUAUAAACAUCUGUUUGAGUCCCUGGUCUCCUUUCUUUUGCAUAUAUACCAGAAAUGGAAUUACUGAACCAUAUGGUAAUUCUAUGUUUAAUUUCUUGAGGAGUCACCAUACUGUUUUCCACACCAGCUUCACAAUUUCACAUUGCCACCAGCAAGGCACAAAAGUUCCAACUACUCCAAAAGCUUGUCAAUACUUAUUUUCUGUUUUCCCAAUAAAAGCCAACCUGAUGAGGAU